rnacentral:rRNA from 1 species
UCGGGUUGUAAAGCACUUUUGUCCGGAAAGAAAACCUCGUGGUUAAUACCCGUGGGGGAUGACGGUACCGGAAGAAUAAGCACCGGCUAACUACGUGCCAGCAGCCGCGGUAAUACGUAGGGUGCAAGCGUUAAUCGGAAUUACUGGGCGUAAAGCGUGCGCAGGCGGUUCGCUAAGACAGAUGUGAAAUCCCCGGGGCUCAACCUGGGAACUGCAUUGGUGACUGGCAGGCUAGAGUAUGGCAGAGGGGGGUAGAAUUUCCACGUGUAGCAGUGAAAUGCGUAGAGAUGUGGAGGAAUACCGAUGGCGAAGGCAGCCCCUGGGCCAAUACUGACGCUCAUGCACGAAAGCGUGGGGAGCAAACAGGAUUAGAUACCCUGGUAGUCCACGCCCUAAACGAUGUCAACUAGUUGUUGGGGAUUCAUUUCCUUAGUAACGUAGCUAACGCGUGAAGUUGACCGCCUGGGGAGUACGGUCGCAAGAUUAAAACUCAAAGGAAUUGACGGGGACCCGCACAAGCGGUGGAUGAUGUGGAUUAAUUCGAUGCAACGCGAAAAACCUUACCUACCCUUGACAUGGUCGGAAUCCCGCUG